GUUUUCCAAGCCAAUUAGUGUUUUGUUUUGUUGUUGUUUUGUUUGUUUUUCUCCCCAAUUUGACUAUUUUGCUGUAGUUGGCAAGUAUGAUUUCCAAUGACAUCAACUAAGUAUUUUAAAACCCUUUGUCAUUGACUGAAUAUUAAUUGUAAUGGCAGUCCCUUGUUCUGGGCAGAACAGUCCCUGUUAAUCCCUUUCUGUUUAACAGUUUCCUUCUGUAUUGCUGUUAGACUGCUACUGUUUAUUCCCAAAGGUUGUCCUAUACUUUCCGUACAAAAUGUGGCCAUCCCGGUGCGUUUUCCAUUCACCCAGACAAUGUUUUAAUAUAGCCACGAUACCCCACACCUCCUGGGGCUAGCAAUGUCGCAGCAACCUGGUAAAAAUAAAAAUGGAUUUGCAAGUGACCGGGAUGCACCAAAAUUGCAUCGAUCUCCACCGGGAAGCCUUCUUGUUAAAGAAAAUAGCCAGGCGGCCAUAAGACAGAAUGGCGUUAAACUUGAUGCUUGCAGGGCUUAUAAAAAAGACACAAUGAAAUAUCAAA